rnacentral:rRNA from 1 species
GACGAACGCUGGCGGCGUGCUUAACACAUGCAAGUCGAACGAUGAAGAAGAGAAACGCGAACUUCGGUUCCAAUUUCACUUCGGAUUAGUGGCAGACGGGUGAGUAACGCGUGAGCAACCUACCUCUUACAAAGGGAUAGCCUCGGGAAACCGUGAUUAAUACCAUAUGACACAUUCAUAAGGCAUCUUAAGAAUGUUAAAGCUACGGCGGUAAGAGAUGGGCUCGCGUCCCAUUAGCUAGUUGGUGAGGUAACGGCCCACCAAGGCGACGAUGGGUAACCGGCCUGAGAGGGUGAACGGUCACAUUGGAACUGAGACACGGUCCAAACUCCUACGGGAGGCAGCAGUGGGGAAUAUUGCACAAUGGAGGGAACUCUGAUGCAGCGACGCCGCGUGAGCGAUGAAGGAAUUCGUUUCGUAAAGCUCUGUUCUAUGGGAAGAAAAGGACUGUACCAUAGGAGAAAGCCCCGGCUAAAUACGUG